rnacentral:rRNA from 1 species
AAAAUACGGGAGGCAGCAGUAGGGAAUCUUCCGCAAUGGGCGAAAGCCUGACGGAGCAACGCCGCGUGAGUGAAGAAGGAUUUCGGUUCGUAAAGCUCUGUUGUUAGGGAAGAAUGGAUAUGUAGUAACUAUACAUAUAAGAGACGGUACCUAACCAGAAAGCCACGGCUAACUACGUGCCAGCAGCCGCGGUAAUUUUU